GGUGCGCAGGCGGGACUGCAAGUUGGAUGUGAAAUACCGAGGCUUAACCUCGGAGCUGCAUCCAAAACUGUGGUUCUUGAGUGGAGUAGAGGUAAGCGGAAUUCCGAGUGUAGCGGUGAAAUGCGUAGAUAUUCGGAGGAACACCAGUGGCGAAGGCGGCUUACUGGGCUCUAACUGACGCUGAGGCACGAAAGCAUGGGUAGCAAACA
rnacentral:rRNA from 1 species